AUUGAACGCUGGCGGCAUGCCUUACACAUGCAAGUCGAACGGUAACGCGGGGCAACCUGGCGACGAGUGGCGAACGGGUGAGUAAUGCAUCGGAACGUGCCCAGUAGUGGGGGAUAGCCCGGCGAAAGCCGGAUUAAUACCGCAUACCACCUCCGGGUGAAAGCGGGGGACCGUAAGGCCUCGCGCUAUGGGAGCGGCCGAUGUCAGAUUAGGUUGUUGGUGGGGUAAAAGCCUACCAAGCCGACGAUCUGUAGCUGGUCUGAGAGGACGACCAGCCACACUGGGACUGAGACACGGCCCAGACUCCUACGGGAGGCAGCAGUGGGGAAUUUUGGACAAUGGGGGCAACCCUGAUCCAGCCAUGCCGCGUGCGGGAAGAAGGCCUUCGGGUUGUAAACCGCUUUUGUCAGGGAAGAAACGCUCUGGGCUAAUACCCCGGGGUAAUGACGGUACCUGAAGAAUAAGCAUCGGCUAACUACGUGCCAGCCGCCGCAGUAAAAC
rnacentral:rRNA from 1 species